rnacentral:lncRNA from 1 species
CGCACUUGUUGCCUGAGAAGAUGGAAGUAAUGGGACAAAACAAACAAAUAAACCAAAACCAAACAAACAAAAAGUCCCACAGGAGCAGAUUCUAGAACCAGAGAACUGCAGGAUAUAAGUCAUCCCUUAUACAGGGCCCCAGAAAAGAUCAUUGCCUUGCAAUACAAGCUUUGAUCUCAGCACACAGAAAGCCCUAGAACCCUACAGAAUUGAGAUGAAACAGUCUGUUGUCUUGAGACAUGGUGUCUAAGGAGUUUUGUUUGGGCAGCCAGAGGACACUAAUCGGAGGCCCCAGAGAUGGCUUCAGCUGUGGAAGAGGCAUGGGUACAAGGGAGGGAAACCUUCCUACAUUAAUUCCUUGCAUUGCCAGUGGUAAUGCCUUU